UGACUUUGUACGGAACAUUUCUUCUUCAUGCAUGGAGGGAUUUUGAUGUAACUUGGACCAAAUGUUCACCACCAUGAGGCACCCUUGUUUUUAGAAUUACGUCCCUUUGUUGUUACUAUAAAUAGAUUUUAUUGUAACUUUUUUAUUACUGGCGGUAGAGAAAAAUCGAGACCACUUUUCUGUGGUACAGCAUGCAUGUUACAUCCAAUUUUUAGGUGUAUUUUGACCUAUCUCUACCUGGUAAAGAGUUUCUUGUGGACUUAUAUUAUAUAGAUUUUUUUUUUUUUUUUUUUUUUUUUUAAAGAUUAAUUUCCCUUAGUUGUUACUAUAAAUAACUUACAUGAUAACAUUUUUAUAAUCAGCCAAAAAAAUUCAAUAUGAAAACAACUAUAGGUUUUUAUACGCCCGUUUGAAAAACGGGACGUAUUAUGGGAACGCCCCUGGCGGGCGGAUGGGCGGUUGGGCGGGCGGGCGGGCGGGCGGGCGGCGUCCACAGACCUUGUCCGGAGCAUAUCUUCUACAUGCAUGGAGGGAUUUUGAUGAAACUUGGCACAGUUGUUCACCAUCAUGAGACGGAGUGUCAUGCGCAAGAACCAGGUCCCUAGGUCUAAGGUCAAGGUCACACUUAGAGGUCAAAGGUCAAAUUCAAGAAUGACUUUGUCCGGAGCAUAUCUUCUUCAUGUAUGGAGGGAUUUUGAUGAAAGUUGGCACAAUUGUUCAUCAUCAUGAGACGGAGUGUCAUGCGCAAAAACCAGGUCCCUAGGUCUAAGGUCAAGGUCACACUUAGAGGUCAAAGGAUACAAGAAUGAAAAAUUCAAGAAUGACUUUGUCCGGAGCAUAUCUUCUUCAUGCAUGGAAUGAUUUUGAUGUAGCUUGGCACAGUUGUUCACCAUAAUGAGAGGGAGUGUCGUGCGCAAGAACCAGGUUCCUAGGUCUAAGAUCAAGGUCACACUUAGAGGUCAAAGGAUACAAGAAUGAAAACUUUGUCCGGAGCAUAUCUUCUUCAUGCAUGAAAGGACUUUGAUGUAGCUUGGCAAAAUUGUUCACCAUCAUGAGACGGAGUGUCAUGCGCAAGAACCAGGUCCCUAGGGGUAAGGUCAAGGUCACACUUAGAGGUCAAAGGAUACAAGAAUGAAAACUUUGUCCGGAGCAUUUCUUCUUCAUGCAUUGAGGGAUUUUGAUACAACUUGGCACAAAUGUUCACAGCAUGAGACGGAGUGUCAUGCGCAAGAACCAGGUCCCUCGGUCUAAGGUCAAGGUCACACUUAAAGGUCAAAGGUCAGAUACAAGAAUGACUUUGUCUGGAGCAUUUCUUCUUCAUGCAUGUAGGGAUUUUGAUGCAACUUGGCACAAUUGUACACCAUCAUGAGACGGAGUGUCAUGCACUGGUCCCUUCUUUAAAAUUACUUCCCUUUGCUGUUACUAUAAAUAGCUUAUAUUGUAACUUUUUUCAUUACAAGUCGUAGGGAAAAAUCGAGACACUUUUCUGUAGUACAACAUGCAUGUUACAUCCAAUUCUGAGGUGUAUUUUGAGCUAUCUCUACCUGGUAAGGAUUUUUGUGUGGACUUGUAAUUUUUUUUUUUCGAUUUUUUUUUUUUUUUUUUUUUUUUCUCUUUAAAGAUUAACUUCCCUUAGUUGUUACUAUAAAUAACUUACGUUGUAACUUUUUUAUAAUUGACCGUAGGGAAAAACCAAGACCACUUUUCUGUGGUACAACAUUGAUAUUACUUUCAAAUUUUGGGUGUAUUUUAAGGUAUCUCUACCUGGUAAGGAUUUUUUUUGUGGACUUAGAAAAAUAAAAGAAUUACAAUAAUUUCUAAAAAAAACAACAUUGUAAACAACUAGAAAAUUAAAAUUCCAUUUGCAAAUACAGGUGCUAGUGUAAACAAAUUUGCUGUGACGGGCGUAUAUUGUGACAUUCUGCACCCUUGUUAUAUAUAUAAAUUUUAAUCCAAGUGUUUUGUUAUAGCAUAUUGUAUAUAUAGUACAAUAUUGUUUAUACAACAUUGACAGAUAUCAGUUCAUUAUGUUAUACUGCAGUAGAGAAAAUUAGGUGCCUUCCAGUAGGGGACUUUGUAUUGCAUGGCAAUACUUCAUUCACUUGUUAAUUUUAUCCUGAACUCUGACUCAUAUAAAAUGUAAUUUUGUUAUCUUUCAUUGUCUUUUUCUUUACAUUAACUGUUGUUUGAAUUUUAACCAUCAGGGCCCGGUUGUUCGAAACUUUAACCGACUGUUAAACUAACCAUCGGUUAAAUUUUGAUUUAAAAUGAUACAUGUGAUAAGUUCAGAAUCCCAAAACUGGAGGUUUGCCAUUUUUCAACUGGAGUUGGGGUCUCAAAACUGGAGGUUUUUUAUCGACAUAAAUUAAGCAAGCGGACACAAAACUUAGAGACAAAAUCCAACAUUCUAGGCCACACAAUAACGCAUAAGUCUACACCAGAAGAAACAAUCUCAUAACUCUUGAUUUGAAUUUUGACAUAGUUAUGCCACUUUUUAACUUAAAUUUUUUGGUUAAAGUUUUAUAUAAUGUCCAAUAUCUCUGUUACAUUCAAAGCUAUUGACUAUUAUGCCCCUUUUACUGGCAAAGCUUUAAUUCAGAGUCAAUCACUGAGAAAAGUCGAGCAUGCUGUCUUACAGAAGCUCCCUCUUGUUCCAACUUUAAACUUUCUUAACAGAUUAAAUUGUAGAAACAAAGUCUCAAUUUAGGUCUGAAAUGGUGGUGAACAUGCAUUAACAAUAUACUACUCGAGGACUGGAAAAAAAAAAGAGAAGCUCUAAAUUGGUCUGAACACAACUCAUAAAUUAUGUAAAUUCCUAACCCCACCCACUUUCGUAUAAAAAUACUGAUCACUAAUGAUUUUGACAUGAAAAACAGAAAACAGAAAUGCAUCAACAUGUAUUUACCCUUACCAAAAUAAUGUAGAUUGAUGUUAUCAAAUAAAUGAGUGUGUGUUUUCAUCCAAUUUUCAAUGAAAUAAGUCGUAUUUUAGUAGCAAAUUAAUUUGGUAAACAUUGCCAUUGGAAGAAAAAGGCAUAACUGCAUAAGGGGAAAUAACAUUCAUGUUCUAAAAAUAGUAAUGGGUUGAUUUUUCCAACAAUUAUUUAUGUGAUUUUAUUACUGAACAAAACUUUUCUUUGAAUAAUCAAAAAUUCAUUUCAGCUGGGAAUUAUUUCUUAUGACUGGGAUUUUUUUGCUUCAAAUUGGUAAAAAAUGGAGCCUAAUUGGCAUUGAGAAUGGGCAGAUAUUCGGCCCUGUGAGACAGUGGAAAAGGCCCUGCUUGUCUAAUCCCUUAUCAAAACAAACAAUCAUGUUCUCAAAAUUCACCUGUGAAAAACAACUCUUUCCUUCAGCUACACGUGUGUCAAACAUGUAUAAUACACAACAGUCGGUGACACUUGACAAAGGAGGCAAUGAGGUCUAAGCCAGUCAGCGCUGGCCUACCAAAAGCGUGGUUCGGCUGGAAAAUGUAAACAAACCAAAGUUUCUUAGGGAAUUUAGGACUUUGUUGUCUCUGUCAGCUCUUAAAUAUAGUUUUUAAAUAAAAGAUAAGUUUUAAUAAAUAAUAUAGUUUAUAAUGGGGAAAGCAAAAUGCCUUGAUACACUAUAUGAGGUACAUAACAGAGGCGUGAUACAUAUAAAUGAUGACACACAAAUAAGACAGUCUAUUAUUCUUCUUCUAACUGUAGUUUUUAAAGUAAAUGUAUGGGAUUAAGUUCCCAUCUUAUUCACAGCCCACUGGCGGUUACUUUAACUUACUUUGGACUGUGAAUUAUGGUACACACUCUACAUGUAGCAUAUAAAGUGUAGUUAAUUAAUUGUAGCUAUGCUCGCCCAUAUGGUUUUAACCGGUGGCGAGGGUAAACAACCUCAACACACACACACACACACUUUGAUUUACUGUGUAAACAUGUUUGGCACUCCUCGAUAAUUAUCAACCCAGUCAUAAUACUGAUUUUCUUUUUUGAAAAGCGGGAGAAUUAUGGUUUUGGUCGGGAGACGGGAGGUAAGGUGAAAAAAUUGGGAUUUUGACCCUCCCGCGCGGGAGAUCACAUGUAUGUUCAAAAUACUAGACUUGGUGGGACACACUAGUAUGGUGUUUUGAUUUUAUUGUAAAGAUUUUCCAGUGUUCAAAAUUCUUACCUCAUACAUUUGUUUUUCAAAGUCUUCUGAAAUGCCGAAAAAUAACCCUAAAAGUUAAUCAACCGUUAGCUUAAUCGCCUGUUAAAGUUUCGAACAACUGGGCCCAGGUGUUUGGAAGUGAACUGAGCAUGAACAUGGAUGUAGCUCUUUCUAGAUGUUGACAGAGAUGAACUGAGAUCAAAAACAAAAAAGUUUUUGAAAGAUAUAAUUAUGAGUUUGUCCAAAACAGAGGAUAUUUUGCAAGUUUUUACUUGUUGCAAUGUCAUACAUUUCACCGAAGAUUUAAUAAAUAGCUGUUUAACAUUUGUGUUAUAAUUUAUAGUUUGUAGUUACAAACUUGCUAGGAACAGACCUUUUAAGUUGCUGAAAUUCCUUUUAUACAAGCUCAAAAAGGAAUAUUUUUAAAUCUUGAUUAGGUGUUACAACAGAAUGGCUUUGGUUUUGAAAUUCUUAACUCUUAUUAUAUAAGCUGAUUGGACUGCCAUGGCAAAAUGAUGUUGGUAGCUGGCUUACUUGCUUGUGAGCAGAGGAAUUAGAAGCAGCUGGUAUUUCUGGGUGAGCUAUUUGUAAGGAUGGGUACUCUGGCAUUAACAGUUUAUCAUAAAUGGCUUGUCGGAUGGACCAAAUUUUUGUUUGUGGCAUCCUGGGACCUCUUGUUUGUUUAGGUGGUUCCUUCACAGUGGUCCCUUCAGACUGCACACAGGCACCAGCAGCUCAGACUUUGAAAAACCUUUUUAACAAAGUCUUCUCAUGAACUCUUAAGAGUACUUCCCUUAUCUUAGUAGGAUCCUUUUAGGACCCCUUUCAAAUUCAUUAAUGGCUUUUGCUGUAACAAAUUUGGGGGCCGCAACAGAAAAAAAUGUUUUUCAAAAAGUGCAAGGCUCUGAGAUAAUAUAUUUUAUAUGAAGCUUAGCUAGCGUCCGACCAGUUUGUUAAAAUAUGAAAGCUUUAGUUAAAUCAUUGUAAAUGUAGUAAGUUUCUGACUCAUCCUUAACAUUUUGUAAAAUUUGAGACUGUCACAGGGCUAAAAAUAAAUGAAUGAGAAUACUUAAAUAUUUCAAACAUUUUAGCAAAAAAAUAUUUUGUGAAUCAUUACCUUACGGUCCUCUGCAUAGGUGAAUGACAUAAACCUAAAAGGGCAUCUUUAUUUUUUAUUAGGUUUCUUAAACUUGAUUAGAACCAUCAUUCUCACACAGACAUUUCUUACAUUUUUAUACGCCCGUUUGAAAAACGGGACGUAUUAUGGGAACGCCCCUGGCGGGCGGGCGGGCGUCGUCCACAGACUUUGUCCGGAGCAUAUCUUCUACAUGCAUGAAGGGAUUUUGAUGAAACUUGGCACAGUUGUUCACCAUCAUGAGACGGAGUGUCAUGCGCAAGAUCCAGGUCCCUAGGUCUAAGGUCAAGGUCACACUUAGAGGUCAAAGGUUAAAUUCAAGAAUGUCUUUGUCCGGAGCAUAUCUUCAUGCAUAGAGGGAUUUUGAUGAAAGUUGGCACAAUUGUUCAUCAUCAUGAGAAGGAGUGUCAUGCGCAAGAACCAGGUCCCUAGGUCUAAGGUCAAGGUCACACUUAGAGGCAAAGGUCAGAUACAAGAAUGACUUUGUCCGAAGCAUUUCUUCAUGCAUGGAGGGAUUUUGAUGUAACUUGACACAAUUAUACACCAUCAUGAGACGAAGUGUCAUGCGCAGUUCCCUUCUUUAGAAUUACUUCCCUUUGUUGUUACUAUAAAUAGCUUAUAUUGUAACUUUUUCAUUACUAGUCGUAGGGAAAAAUCAAGACCACUUUUCUGUAGUACAACAUGCAUGCUACAUCCAAUUUUGAGGUGUAUUUUGACCAGUCUCUACCUGGUAAAGAUUUUUAUGAGGACUUACAAUUUUUUUUUUUUUUUUUUUUUUUUUUUAAGAUUAACUUCCCUUAGUUGUUACUAUAAAUAACUUAUAUUGUAACUUUUUUAUAAUUGUCCGUAGGGAAAAACCAAGACCACUUUUCUGUGGUACAACAUAGAUGUUACUUUCCAAUUUUAGGUGUAUUUUAAGGUAUCUCUACCUGGUAAGGAGUUUUUUUGUGGACUUAGAAAAACAAAACACUUACAGUUAUUAUCCCCAAUUCCUGUAUCUUCGUGCCUUCCUAUAUCUUCGUGCCUCUGUCAUUUACAUGCGCUGCUAGUUCAUGCAAAACCUCUGACUUCACUAAAUUGUGUUAGCAUAAUAAGCACAUGGUAUUUCGUAAACAAAGAAGGCAAAAUGCAUAAAAAACAUGUAGUUUGCCUUUAAUUCACAUUAAUUAAAUAUCUUACAUUAAAAAUGUGUAGCUGCUUACAAAGAAACCAAGUACAAUGCAAUUAUUUUUAAAAUAUCCAAAUUUUCAUUUCCAAAACUUAUGACAGUUUCAUUCCAAGGUCAUUGCCAGUUCUCCUAACCUAAUUUCAUCGAAGGGGAAAAUUUCCAUGUUUGAAUGACAUAAGCGACCCAAAUAACACAAGUGGCACGAUGAUAUAGGAAAAUGGCACCCAUGACUUAGGUUACACACGUGGUGGAAACAUCUUGAGAUUUCACAAUGACUGUUUAGGAGAUCCAAACAAAACAGUUUGCAUGAUAAAGAUAAAAGGUUUAUCUUCAAUAUCAUAUAUACAUUUUUGAAUGUAUUUUGCCUAAUUUUGGGAUUUAAAUGGGGGAAUACGUAGGGGGCACGAAGAUACAGGAAAAGGGCAUACUAUACAACCACAAAAUUAAAAUUCCAUUUGCAAAUACAGGUGCUAGAGUAAAGAAAUUUGCUGUGACGGGCGUAUAUUGAGACAUUCUUGCACUCUUGUUAGAUUAAGAUGAGGACUUGGAGGGAUGCAUCAUGGUCCUCUUGACAUUUUGUUAUAGUUUUGCUUGACAGUAGAUUACCUAUAUACUCUUAUUUGUACCUAAUGAUAUUGUAAUCAAUGAACAGAGCUUGAUUGUGUUUUACCCUAUCAGUAUUUUAUUGAACAUACUGUGCAAAUAUUGUUAGAGAAUUUAUCAAUAAAUAAAAAGAAAAAAAUAUU